rnacentral:rRNA from 1 species
UACGGGGGGGGCAAGCGUUGUUCGGAAUUACUGGGCGUAAAGGGCGCGUAGGCGGCCUUCUAAGUCAGACGUGAAAUCCCUCGGCUCAACCGAGGAACUGCGUCUGAUACUGGAAGGCUUGAAUCCGGGAGAGGGAUGUGGAAUUCCAGGUGUAGCGGUGAAAUGCGUAGAUAUCGGGAGGAACACCAGUGGCGAAGGCGGCUUCCUGGCCUGUUCUUGACGCUGAGGCGCGAAAGCUAGGGGAGCAAACGGG